UCUGUUGCCCAGGCUGGAGUGCAGUGGCAUGAUCUUGGCUCACUGCAAGCUCUGCCUCCCAGGAUCACACCAUUCUCCUGCCUCAGCCUCCUGAGUAGCUGGGACUACAGGCGCCCACCACCACGCCCAGCUAAUUUUGUUUUUGUAUUUUUAGUAGAGACGGGGCUUCACCAUGUUAGCCAGGAUGGUCUCGAUCUCCUGACCUCAUGAUCCACCGACCUCGGCCUCCCAAAGUGCUGGGAUUACAGGCAUGAGCCACAGCGCCCGGCUGGUUUUUCAAUCAGAAUUGUGAUGAAAGACUAACAAUCCAUUCAAUUUAAAGAAAUUAUUUUCUACUGUUAGAGAAAGGUAUUUAGAGCCCUGUUUAAAAGGAGAUCAAUAUCUGUUUUGAUUGUGAUUUUUUUUUUUUUUUACCUGUCAAUAGCAUCACACUGGUAAAGCUGUUUAAGAGCUUCUAAAAUAAGUCUCUCAUUAGGUGGAUCCAAAUAGGGAAACCUGUGUGUUUAAAUAAGAUAUGAAGUGAGAGGCAUUCCUUGAACAUGGUAGGAUUUUAUAUAGAUAUGACGAAAAUUUCUUUAAAAGGUUUUAUUUCUAUUUUUCAAGUCAUCUUUUUCUAAAAAAAAAUUAUAUGAUCAUGAUCAGCAUUUGGCAAAAGAGGAAAUAAUUUUUUUCUGAAUCACACUCCUCUACUUCAAGAAGUGAUUCUUUUUGACUCCCCUUAGCUGAAAUACUCUCACCAGUCUACUUAUCCUAAUCCUGCCCCACCCAUCCUUCACAGCCUAUGUCAAGUCUACUCUUUUCUGCAGUCCAUAAUUUUUUUCCAAACUUUUAUAAAAAUAGUAGAGAAAUAUUAAUAGUAGAGAAGUAUUAAUAGUAGAGAAAUAUUAAUUAGUACUGAAAAUUAUAAAUUGUUCAAUAGUACCUCAAAAUGCUUUUUUUUGGAGAUGGAGUCUCACUCUGUUGCCCAGGCUGGAGUGCAAUGGCACGAUCUCUGAUCACUGCAACCUCCAUCUCCCAGGUUCAAGCAAUUCUCCUGCCUCAGCCUCCCGAGUAGCUGGGACUACAGGCACAUGCCACCACGCCUAGCUAAUUUUUUGUAUUUUAGUAGAGACAGGGUUUCACCAUGUUGCCCAGGCUGGUCUUGAACUCCUGUGCUUAAGCAAUCCGCCCACCUCGGCCUCCCAAAGUGCUAGGAUUACAGGCGUGAGCCACCGCACCCAGCCUCAAAAUGCUUCUUAAAUUCAAUUUAAUUUUUUUUUUUUUUUGAGACGGAGUCUCACUCUGCUGCCCAGGUUGGAGUGCAGUGUGGCAAUCUCGGCUCACUACAACCUCCGUCUCCUGGGUUCAAGUGAUUCUCCUGCCUCAGCCUGCUGAGUAGCUGGGAUUACAGGCACCUGCCACCAUGCCCAGAUAAUUUUUGUAUUUUUAGUAGAGGCGGGGUUUCACCAUAUUGGUCAGGCUUGUCUCAAACUCCUGACCUCAGGUGAUCCACCCACUUCAGCCUCCCAAAGUGCUGGGAUUACGGGCGUAAGCCACCGCACCCGGCCGGACAAAAUGCUUUCAUAUAAAUGGGGAAAUAUAUUCAAUUAAUUUAGCCAUAUUUGUGUCACAUAUGUGUACAUGUGUAUGUACUUAUUUUCUGCCAAACUAUCUCAGAAUAAGUUGCAAAUACAAUGCCAUUGCACACUUACAACUAUCUCGGCAUGCAUCUCCUGAAAAUAAGGACAUUCUCUUACAUCACCAUAAUGCGCUAUUAAUAAAUAUAAUAAAAUUAACAAUUAACAAUAAUAUUCAAAAGGGAUAGCAUCAUCAAACAUGAAUAUAUAUUUUUUAAAAACAGGAAAAAUAAUUACUUGAUAUCAUCUGCACUGGGUUAUUUUUUCCACCUUAAAUCUGGAUAUGAAAAAUCAUCUACUCCAACUUCUCACCUUGAAAAAAAUCCAAUAGAAGACAAAAGGUCCAAUACCUUAUAUAAAAUGUCCAUUCCAGGAUUGAUAACCCUAUUUAAAAAUAAAUAAAUAAAACAAGGCCAAGGAUGGUAGCUCACGCCUAUAAUUUCAGCACUCUGGGAGGCUGAGGCAGGAGGACUGCUUGAGCUCAGGAGUUUGACAACAGCCUAGGCAACACAGCAAGAUCCCAUCUCUUAUAAAAAGAAAAAAUAAUAAGCAAACAAUAAUCUCUUACACUGUUCUACUGCCAGCUUUCCUACAAUUUGUACCAAUAGGUCCUGGUAGCUUCUACAGCAAGAAUUGGUAAACAUUUUCCGUAAAGGGCCAGAUAGUAAAUAGCUUAGGCUUGCAGGCCAUAUGGUCUCUGUCACAAUUACUCAACCAUGCUAUUACAGUGAAAGCAGCCACACAUAAACAAAUGGGUAUGGCUGCAUUCUAACAUUUUAUUUACAAAAACAGUCAGUGAGAUUAGACCACAGUUUGCCACCCUUGUGCUAGAGCAAUACCAAACCAGUCAGCUGCUUCUUCUAUAUAAAAGGAAAAACUACUUAUUCUAAAAUAUUGCAAUUAAUUUCCCCCCUUGAUUCCUCCAAUUACCAAUUCUGUCAACCACUCCUUAUAAGUUACUUGGUUUCUAAGAGAUCUACCAUACCUAAGUACCAUUCUCUAAAAACACUAGUAUGUCAAACUCCUCAUAAAACUUGAUUAUAUCCAAAACUGAACUCCAAAUGUUGAGUGACCAACACAUAACAGGAAUGCUGUAAUUCCCCAUCACCUAGUUUAUUAAUGUAACCAAAGUCUAUGCCAGUGGAAUUAAAAAAAAAAUUUUUUUUUUUGAGACAGAGUCUUGCUCUGUCGCCCAGGCUGGAGUGCAGUGGUGCGAUCUGGGCUCACUGCAAGCUCCGCCUCCCGGGUUCACGCCAUUCUCCUGCCUCAGUCUCCCGAGUAGCUGGGACUACAGGCGUCUGCCACCACACCCAGCUAAUUUUUUGUAUUUUUAGUAGAGACGGGGUUUCACUGUGUUAGCCAGGAUGAUCUCCAUCUCCUGACCUCGCAAUCCGCCCACUGUGGCCUCCCAAAGUGCUGGGAUUACAGGCGUGAGCCACCGCACCCGGCCUAAAAAAAAAUUUUUUAAACAGAGCCAUACGUAUAAGCCAAUAUUAAGGUUGUGAUGAUCUGAUAAUUUCAGAUCUCUACCACAUGUAUUUGCUAUUGUACAUCCCAAACACAGGAUAUAAGAUAUAUCCUUUCAAAUUUACACCCUGUUGAUUUUUGCCCAUGGUUCUAAUCUGUUAAAGUCAUUUUAAAGCUUGGUCAUCUACCUAUUAGAUAUUAAGAUAUUUUCCAGAAAAAUAUAAUCAUAACUUCAAUAUUUUUAUUCAGUAUCAUUAAAAAUGUUUAUCAAGAAAAAACUAAGUUCAGCACAAUACCAGUAAAAACUUCAUCUAGUCUACACUAAGCAAUUAAUUAAUACUUUUCUAGACUGGGCUAUCUGGCAACUAUACUCAGCAGUACUGUCAUCUACAGACUACUUUUUUAUUCACAAGAUAUCAAAUGCAGUAUUGUUAAAUACUGUGCUGAAAAUAAAAGACAUUAGGUUAAAUUUCAAUAAAUUCUUGUGGAGCACCCAUUAUGUGGACGGUCCUGUCCUCAAACUGAAAAGGAAAUGGCUUAUAAUGACAUAUUUGGCCGGGCAUGGUGGCACACGCAUGUAAUCCCAGCUACUCAGAAGGCUGAGACACGAGAAUCGCUUGAACCUGGGAGGUGGAGGUUGCAGUGAGCUGAGAUUGUGCCACUGCACUCCAGCCCGGGUGACAGAGUGAGAUCCUGCCUCAGAAAACCAAAACCAAACACAACAACAACAAAAAAUGACAUAUUCAUUGUGAACUUUUAAAAUUCAUACUCAUUAAUCGUCAUUAAAUUUCCUUAAACCAUUUUUCAAUAAACUGUACUAGAGUUCGCUAGUAAUCAAUGUCAAGCUUACUGGGUAGUUGUUUCCAGAACCCGCCCUUUUUACCAAAUGAAAAAAAUUAAGACUUUUGCCUUUCUCACCAUUUUCUGAUAACGUAUUCUGCAUAAUUUCUCAUAGAUGACCUACAGUGACUCUGACGCUAAAUCUGCAAGUUCUUUUAACACCACGGAAAUAAUGUCUAAAUGCUCAAGACAAAAUCACUUAUGGUGUUGUCUACAUACCUUAUGACAUCGUGUAUGGCAAGGCACUUUAAGGUCAGAACUACAGAUGUCAAACUAGUUCUCUUAAUUUCAGGGAUCACAUGGUCAGGCAUACACUGGUUCCAAAAAUCUUUACUAUAGAUCCGAAAGCAUUUUCCUGAAGAAGUCCUGCCAGCUCGGCCACUUCGCUGUAAUGCCUCGCUCCUACAAAAGGAAAAAAACCCAAAAAUUCCCCAAAAUGUUCUGUGGGUUUCUCAGGUAAUUUACUUUGUCUCCCCAAAACAGCUAGAAAUUACCUAAUCAGUUGUUCUUUGAAUAAAAAGAUUUGACAUAGAGACUUACUUUGAAAUUGGAACCACCUCCAGGAUGUCCAACCCUAAUCUGGGGUUGUGAUUUAACUGCUUCACAAAGCCACCAUCUACCACAUAUCUAAGAAGAAUCAAAGCAAGUUAAGUUUCUGGAAAAUAAAAGAAGACUUGUUAAUUGUUAACCACUUUGGUUUCUCCUUUUCUAGCAAACUAGCAGGUACACAAUGCCUUUUAUGUUAAGUGUAAAACUUGAAAGUCAAGAAAUUGGAACCCUCGUAUGUUGUUGGUGGGAAUGUAAAAUGGUUCAGCCGAGGUGGAAAAUUGUUCGGAGGUCCUCAAGAAGUUAAACACAAAAUUACCAUAUGAUCCAGCAAUUCCAUUUCUAAGUGUACACCAAAAAGAACUGAGAACAAGUACUCAAACAAAUACUUAUAGACCAAUGUUCAUAUCAGCACUAUGAAUCACAGCCAUAAGGUAAAAACAACCUAAAUGUCCAUUAACCAUUAAUGGAAGAAGGGAUGAACAAAUUGCUUUGCAUAUAUGUAUGUAGUAUAUAUACACACGCAUAUAUACACACACAAUGGAAUAUAUAUAUAUAUACACACACACACUAUGCAAUAUUAUUCAGCCACAAAAAAGAAUGAAGUACUGAUACAUGCUACAAUGUGGACGAACCUCAAAAAUAUUAUGCUAAGUGAAAGAAAGCAAACACAGAAGGCCACAUAUUAUAUGAUUCUAUUUGUAUGAAAUAUCCAGAAUAGAAAAUACCUACUGCUUCCUGCUGACACAUCUAAAGAAUUUUUUAAAAAAGAAAAUACGUACAAACAAAAAGUAAGACUGGUAGUUGCCAAGGGCUGGGGUCGAGAGGGGAAUGUGGAGUACCUGCUUAAUGGGUAUGGGGUUUUAUUUUGAGGUGUUGAAAUAUUUUAGAACUAAGCAGAAGCAGUGGUUGCGCAAUACUGUAAAUGUACUAAGUACUACUUAAUUUUUCAUUUUAAAUGAUUAAUUUUAUGUGAAUUUUGCCUCAAUACAAAAAUACACAAACUUGAAAGUCAGCUUCAGACCAUUUAAACAGAUUCAGAAUCUAAUUUCAACUAGCCCUUAACAUGCCAUUCUAAGCCAAUUAAAUGGUGAACAAGUCAGGUAAGGAACCAAAGUAGGAUAGCAGUAACAAGACAACAUUCUGAAACAUGCUAUUUAAUGGCUUUUGCCUGUGCAGGAAACAGAAAAUUACAGAGGUUAAUUUACCCAGGAGAGCACUCCCUUAAUCCCUUAGUGAAACCAUUAUUUUUAAAGUAACGAAGAAAAGCAGAGGAAAUUAGACUUCCUCUCAGACCUGGGUGAUCAUUUUACCCAGAAGAAACACACAGGAUCUUUGAGAUUCAGGUUCAGCCUUCCGGAGACAGACAAUCAGACUUAGCUAAAGAAAUAAAAUAUAUUCGGUAAAUGAUAAAUAACCCAGUCUUAAAGAACUUUGCAUUAGUUGUCAGUCCAGACUUAAAAUUUCUUUGUGUUUCCUUACUAAAUUUACCCAAAAAUUUGAUAGCACUAUUUACUACAUCCAGAAAAGAUAAGGGACCUGAAUCAUAGUUAAUUUUCACAAAAAGGUAAAAAGUCAGAGACAAUACAUCCAGAUAAACAUUGGAUAUACAAACUCUACCGAGUGAGGCUGCAAGGUAGAAGGAAAUAUCAAAUCAUCUAAGGUAUAUGCUUAUAAUGGGAGUACAGAAAAAUAGGUUUGGCUUCCUAUUUAGUGAAACCCAUAAAGCAUUAUACAUAAUCUUAAAUUUGAAAAGAAGCUUCAAGUUGCCAAGUAGUUAAAAAGUGUGAACAGCCAAGUAUGGUGACACAUGCCUGUGGUCCCAGCUACCCAGGAGACUGAGGCGGGAGGAUUGGCUGAUCUCCAUACAAGGCUGUAGUGUGCUAUGACUGCACGCCUGUGAAUAGUCACUAUAUUCCAGCCUCAGCAACAUAAUGAGACCCUGUCUCUAAAAAAACAAAAAGUGUGAAUAGGAAUAUAGUAUGUACCUCCUACUCCAUUUCCUGCUCAAAGCAAUCAAUAAUUACAAAACAAAAUAGGUGAUUACAUGUUAAGAACAUCAAAAAGUAGGAGAGAAGGGAAUUAGUGGAGGGCACAGAAAAGCAAACUCAGUAAUGUUUAGCUAAUGUUUAGUAACGAUAGGCUUCCUUGACUUUAAGAGAAAGUUCAAAAGUUUUACCUGGUUCCAUCUAUUGUCAAAGACG
rnacentral:lncRNA from 1 species